UACGUAGGGUGCAAGCGUUGUCCGGAAUUAUUGGGCGUAAAGAGCUCGUAGGCGGUUUGUCGCGUCUGCUGUGAAAACCCGAGGCUCAACUCCGGGCCUGCAGUCGAUACGGGCGGACUGGAGUUCGGCAGGGGAGACUGGAAUUCCUGGUGUAGCGGUGAAAUGCGCAGAUAUCAGGAGGAACACCGGUGGCGAAGGCGGGUCUCUGGGCCGAUACUGACGCUGAGGAGCGAAAGCGUGGGGAGCGAACAGG
rnacentral:rRNA from 1 species